rnacentral:rRNA from 1 species
AGCGAACGCUGGCGGCAGGCCUAACACAUGCAAGUCGAACGGAUCCUUCGGGAUUAGUGGCGGACGGGUGAGUAACACGUGGGAACGUGCCCUUUGGCUCGGAACAACUCAGGGAAACUUGAGCUAAUACGGGCUGUGCCCUUCGGGGGAAAGAUUUAUCGCCAUUGGAGCGGCCCGCGUCUGAUUAGCUAGUUGGUGAGGUAAAGGCUCACCAAGGCGACGAUCAGUAGCUGGUCUGAGAGGAUGAUCAGCCACAUUGGGACUGAGACACGGCCCAAACUCCUACGGGAGGAAGCAGUGGGGAAUCUGGCGCAAUGGGCGAAAGCCUGACGCAGCCAUGCCGCGUGAAUGAUGAAGGUCUUAGGAUUGUAAAAUUCUUUCACCGGGGACGAUAAUGACGGUACCCGGAGAAGAAGCCCCGGCUAACUUCGUGCCAGCCGCCGCCGUAA